GGAGGGUGCAAGCGUUGUUCGGAAUUAUUGGGCGUAAAGAGCGUGUAGGCGGUCCGGUAAGUCAGAUGUGAAAGCCCUGGGCUCAACCCAGGAAGUGCAUUUGAAACUACCAGACUUGAGUACGGGAGAGGAGGGGGGAAUUCCCGGUGUAGAGGUGAAAUUCGUAGAUAUCGGGAGGAAUACCAGUGGCGAAGGCGCCCUCUGGACCGAUACUGACGCUGAGACGCGAAAGCGUGGGGAGCAAACAGGAUUAGAUACCCUGGUAGUCCACGCCGUAAACGAUGAGCACUAGGUGUAGCGGGUAUUGACCCCCCUGCUGUGCCCGUAGCUAACGCAUUAAGUGCUCCGCCUGGGGGACUACGGUCGCAAGACUA
rnacentral:rRNA from 1 species